AUUCCUUCGGCAGCACAUAUGCUAAAAUCGGAACGAUACAGAGAAGAUUAGUCAUGGCCUCUGCUCAAGGAUGACACGCAAAUUCGUGACAUGUUCCAUACAAUU
ensembl:snRNA LOC120097309 U6 spliceosomal RNA